GGACCCGCACAAGCAGUGGAGCAUGUGGUUUAAUUCGAAGAUACGCGCAGAACCUUACCAACACUUGACAUGUUCGUCGCGAAACUAAGAGAUUAGUUUCUUCAGUUCGGCUGGACGAAACACAGGUGCUGCAUGGCUGUCGUCAGCUCGUGUCGUGAGAUGUUGGGUUAAGUCCCGCAACGAGCGCAACCCACGUCUUUAGUUGCCAGCAUUUAGUUGGGCACUCUAGAGAGACUGCCGGUGAUAAACCGGAGGAAGGUGUGGAUGACGUCAAGUCAUCAUGCCCCUUACAUCCUGGGCUACACACGUACUACAAUGCUACGGACAAAGGGCAGCAAGUUCGCGAGGACAAGCAAAUCUCAUAAACCGUGGCUCAGUUCAGAUCGUAGGCUGCAACUCGCCUACGUGAAGGAGGAAUCGCUAGUAAUCGC
rnacentral:rRNA from 1 species